UUUCCGCAAUAUGCAUCACAAAUUUCAGAGAAGUGUGAAGUUUGAAGGAUAGCUGUGUUUCAGUUUGUGUACUGGUUUGAGAAGUGUGAAUUAGUCAGUUUAUCAGUGAAUAACAGACACCACUGUUUUCCUCUCAGGUUUCGUAGACCGAGGGCAAGUUAGCGUUGUCCUUUCUCUCUCAUUUGGCUUCAUGACCAUGCUACAUGAUAACAACCCCCUCCAAACAAAAACCAGGAAAAGUUCAAAUAUAACACAUCUUUCUGGAGGUAAAGGAUUGCCAAGCCCAUCCCUAAUGGAGAAUAAUGAGCAGAGCAAUCAAAACCCAAUGAAAUGACAGAUCUGAACACAGCAGAGUGCAAAAGGAAGUCAGGCGGCUUCCUUUGAUAAGUGCGUCACGAGAGACUAUCAAAAGGAAAGCAGCAGCAACGAAAGAAUUGCACCACUUUGCUUGUCUCUGCCUCAAAUGAACAUGAGAGCGGAACAGAGGGAGGUUGACUGACAGCGACAGCAAGAGAGGACUCCAGGGGAUGGAGCCUUUUGGGUGAAGGCUGCAGAAUGCUCUAUCUAGCCUUUGCAUUGUCCUCUGUUGAUGUAGCAUAUGCAACCAAGUGCAGAAUGGAAAGUGAGUAGCAGCCCUCGGCCAU